UUAAGUGUAGUUAUAGGUUAAUAAAAUUAUAUGUUUAAGUUCUUUUUCAGUAAAACGAUAGAUACAUAGAGCGAUUGCAUGUCAAUGAAGUAAAAGCUUCUCAUUUUCAUAUAAUAUAAAUAAAUAGAGGGUAUAAUGAAUGAGUUAGGCUUCAUUAAUAAAUUUAUUAGAUAAGAUGAAUUAAAUUAUUCGAUUAUUGUUCGAGCCUCUGGUGAUCAUGAUAUUUGUUAUUUAACAAGUUUAAUUAAUUUAGUUUUGAAUAUAAUAUAACAUUUUAUCACAUACCCGAAAUGAAACCCUAAAUCUCCAAAAAUUGUAUAUUUAUACAGUGGUACGAUUCCGCCAUAGUACGUAUCCUCUCCAAAUUCUUACAUAGUUACUCCCCUUUCAUAAAUGAUCGUCAUUGACCCUGCACAAAAACUACGUUUUACAGUUUUCUCUCAUAGAAAUAUCAGGUCUUACUUCUAGCGAGGAAAUAAAAGCUGACAUGAUGGACAGUAAUCUAAACAAAGACACACUUUGUGAGAAGUUAUCACCUGAAUUGCGAAAAAGUGGUGUUCAAAGAAAUAAGAUGCUCAGUCCGUGUAAAAUGACACAUAGAUGUUAUAUUUGUGAUAAAACAUUUACUCAACGAAGAUCUGUGAAAACACAUAUGACAAUACAUACUGGCGAGAAGAAUCAUGCAUGUAAAAUUUGUGAUAAAGCAUUUUCUGAUCGAAGUUAUUUGAAUAAACAUAUGAGAAUACAUACUGGCGAAAAGAAUCAUGUAUGUGACAUAUGUGAUAAAGCAUUUUCUUUUCGAAGUAAUUUGAUUAGGCAUAUGACAAUACAUACUGGCGAGAAGAAUCAUGUAUGUAAAAUUUGUGAUAAAGCAUUUUCUGAUCGAAGUUCUUUGAAUAGACAUAUGAGAAUGCAUACUGGCGAGAAGAAUCAUGUAUGUGACAUGUGAUCAAGCAUUUUCUUAUCGAAGUAAUUUGAUCAGGCACAUGACAAUACAUACUGGCGAGAAGAAUCAUGUGCCAAAACCUUUUCUCACCGAAUUUCUCUGAAUAUCCAUAUGACAAAACAUACUGGUGAGAAGAAUCAUAAAUGUGACAUAUGUGAGCAGCAAAGUAAUUUCAUCAAUCAUAUGGCAAUACAUAGUGGCAAGAAGAAUUAUCAAUGUGAAAUGUGUGAUAAAAAUGUUCUCAACGAAAUAAUCUAAAUACACAUAUGACAAUACAUACUGGCAAGAUAAAUCAUGUACAGUGAGUUGGCCAAUAGCGGGUCACUAGCGAAACUUUUAGUGUUUAUGAACGAACGAUUUUUAGAUUCAUAUAUAAAUGUAUGAUGAUAAGAAGUAUUUUUAUUCCCCUUUUACUGUAUACUUCUUGUGAAUUCAUAUUUUGAAUGCAUCGUGGUGUAUUUACCAUUUCCAAACCCUUUGUAAACAUGCCAAUAGCGGAUCAAAUCGGUCAUUAGCGGGUCACGUGAUAUACGAACGGGGGGUUUUCUCAAAACAUUAAUUAUCUGUCAAAUUCUUCCCUUAACCAGGAAAAUAUUACACAACUAUGUGUUACCGCUGAGUAUUAAAGUGAAAGGGGUACCAAUAAGUAAAAAAUCCAAGUGACAGCUGCAUGAUUGUGAUAAAAACAAUAAUGAUUAUAGUUUUGCUGAUCUAGAUAUCUGCUCAAUGAAUUGUAAAUUGUGUAGAUAACAUAUUUAUUUCAUUUUCAGGGUUACAGGGGACAAAGCAGCUCAUCGAAGCAAUUUUGUGCACAUUCUAUGUAAAAUUCCAUUAAAUUAACUGUAACACAAGUCAUUUUUUGUGAAUCAAAAGCUUAAAAUGCAGUCUCAAGAAAUGUGCAUGUUCUUCUAUGUUGUCAUUAUGAGGAUACACUUUCUAAGAAUAACAAAAUUGUUUUUCUCUUAUUGAGUACACUCUGUGAUAUAAACAAACAAAAUUAUAACAAAAUACAUGUAACAUGUACAGUCACUUACAGGCACAUUAUGUGUAUGAAAGAUUAAUAAUUCUGUCGAAAGUGCAAAAAUGAGUUUAAGUAUGUUGUAAUAGGGAUUUAUAUCAUAUGAUGUGAUGCUUAUCAUCUGAUAAAAAUACCUUUGAAUAUUAAAUCAUUGUGAUAAAGCAAGUAAAUUAAUACAAAAUACUAAUUAACUUUUACUGUACUAAACCUAAGCAAAAAGGAAACUAAAAAUGGUUCAGAAAUAUGACCAAUAAGUAACUUUUGGAAAGUGCAAAAUUGACAUUAAAAAUAACUAAGCUUUGAAAAAAUAAAGUGAUAGCCUUAAAAUAACAAGACUUUGAAAAAAUAAUGAUAGCAUUGUUAGGCUUAAUUGGCUUUUACAGAGUUGAAAAUUUACACAUGUUUAUUCCUUGUUCAGUGUCAUAGCAUGGCCUUCUGGGAUUUUAUCUAACAUUACAGAAAGUUUUUGAAAAUUACUCUCAAUAUCUGGGUGAAAUAUAAUAUAGUUGCAUGGCAACACAACCCCACCACCUUCAGAACUUGGAGCCGGCCAUGGUGGGAAACUCUGAGUAGGCUCACCGGUAACUUCAGCUUCGAUAUGUCCUUUGUACGAAAAAAACCAGCUAUCCCUCGUGGAACAUGGCCAAUUGGAAGUCCUGCUACAUUUUGCAACCGUAGCUGGCAUUUUUAGCUCGACUUUUUUUUUU